rnacentral:rRNA from 1 species
CCUACGGGUGGCUGCAGUGGGGAAUUUUGGACAAUGGGCGAAAGCCUGAUCCAGCCAUGCCGCGUGAGUGAAGAAGGCCUUCGGGUUGUAAAGCUCUUUCGCAAGGAAAGAAAACUUAGCUACUAAUACUAGUUGAGGAUGACGGUACCUUGAUAAGAAGCACCGGCUAACUACGUGCCAGCAGCCGCGGUAAUACGUAGGGUGCGAGCGUUAGUCGGAAUUACGCGGGCGGUUGCGUAAGUCAGAGGUGAAAUCCCCGGGCUCAACCUGGGAACUGCGUUUGAAACUACAAGGCUAGAGUGUAGAAGAGGGGGGUAGAAUUCCACGUGUAGCAGUGAAAUGCGUAGAGAUGUGGAGGAAUACCGAUGGCGAAGGCAGCCCCCUGGGCUAACACUGACGCUCAUGCACGAAAGCGUGGGGAGCAAACAGGAGUAGAUACCCUUGUAGUC